rnacentral:rRNA from 1 species
CUACGGGUGGCUGCAGUGAGGAAUAUUGCACAAUGGAGGAAACUCUGAUGCAGCAACGCCGCGUGGAGGAUGACGCAUUUCGGUGUGUAAACUCCUUUUAUAUGUCAAGAAAAUGACGGUAGCAUAUGAAUAAGCUCCGGCUAACUCCGUGCCAGCAGCCGCGGUAAUACGGGGGGAGCAAGCGUUACUCGGAAUCACUGGGCGUAAAGGACGCGUAGGCGGGAUAGAAAGUCAGGUGUGAAAUCCUAUGGCUCAACCAUAGAACUGCACUUGAAACUUCUAACCUAGAGUAUGGGAGGGGAAGAUGGAAUUAGUGGUGUAGGGGUAAAAUCCGUAGAUAUCACUAGGAAUACCAAAAGCGAAGGCGAUCUUCUGGAACAAUACUGACGCUAAGGCGUGAAAGCGUGGGGAGCAAACAGGAUUAGAUACCCCGGUAGUC